rnacentral:rRNA from 1 species
GGAUAGGAACAAAACACCCGAUGCGUCGGGUACUGAGGGUACUAUCAGAAUAAGCACCGGCUAACUCCGUGCCAGCAGCCGCGNNNAAUACGGAGGGUGCAAGCGUUAUCCGGAAUCACUGGGUUUAAAGGGUGCGUAGGCGGCUCGAUAAGUCAGUCGUGAAAUUCCCCGGCUUAACCGGAGGGACUGCGAUUGAUACUGUUGAAUCUUGAAUCAGAUUGAGGUAGGCGGAAUGUGGCAUGUAGCGGUGAAAUGCUUAGAUAUGCCAUAGAACACCAAUUGCGAAGGCAGCUUGCUGGAUCUGUAUUGACGCUGAGGCACGAAAGCGUGGGGAGCAAACAGGAUUAGAUACCCUGGUAGUCCACGCCCUAAACGAAUGUUUGCUUGCUGUGCGAUU